rnacentral:miRNA from 1 species
AAAUAUUGCUUGUUUACUCAGG